rnacentral:sRNA from 1 species
CGCUCUCCGCCCGCUCAUUUUCGCGUCCUCGAUCUGUCAAAAAUGUUUCCAUUCUUUGGAUGGUUUGUGUUGUUUGGAUUUAAUACAAACAAAAAUAUUUUACCAUGUUAAACGAUUCUUGACAUCUUUUUCUUUUUUGGUGUUCAUAUUAAAGUGUUUUAUAAUGUUUUAUUGUUUAUAAAUAUCAUGUAAAAUCGUGUCCAACCGUGGUGCGUCAGUGUUGUUUUGUUUGCAAGAGUAGUGUAAGAAGUUCCAGAUGCUGCCUUCCAUGCCUAUUCUGUUCACGAGGGACAGUCAGGAUGCUUUUGGUAACAAGAUUGAACCAAGCACGAGCUUUUGUAUUCCAAAUUCUGUAACAAAACCAGUUAUCAAUGCUCAGCCAGUCGUCCCUAAGGCUGCGCAGGAGGGUUCUAGCACUACAAAGCCACCAGAAAGCAAUAAAACUAAGAAUGUUAAGAAUAAGGAAGAUUCUAGAAUAAAUUAUAAUGCAUUUGAGACAGCAUUAAUUAGAUCCUACUACACAAAAGUACAAUCAAGAUUUUCCUCGAACACAUCAGUGCCUACCAAUAAAUUUGUACAAUUUCAAAAUAUUUUAAAAACAUUUGAUCCAAGUAAAGAGACUCCAGUAGAUUUGUAUAAGAAGAUGGUGUGUCUGUUUGGUGAUGAGCACAAGGAUAUUGUUGAAGAUUUCCUGUUGUUCUUGAAGCCGGGACAAGCAGCUGAGGUUGGCAGGUUUAUGGAUCGUUUCAUGCUGGUCCAAAUGACAGGAUUUAUAGAGUUGUUGCAGAACACGUUCGCCCGUAAGCCGACGGUGCUACGUAAGAUCGUGCGCGCGAUCUCUACGGGCGUGAACAGCGGCAGUUGCGCCGAGAUGAAGGCGCGCGUGCUUCCCCAUUUGCGCUCCAACGCUCGGCUCACGCAAAUGUUCAGAUCGCUGUUCCCUGACGAACGACCGCCGGAUAGUGUGUAUGAAACUGGCACGGACAUCUUAAACGAGAGCUUUCUCACCAAUGACAAGGGUUACGACGUGUGGGAAUUCGAGGAAGAGACAGACAAUAAACGCAAGUUAGACGCUAAGGAAGGCCUUGAUACUAUGUAUCUGAACGGUCGGGUGUUCCUGCAGCAUGGGCGGCUUCUCCGCUCCGCCCGCGUCACCUUUCCCCUACAGCAAGGAACCAUACCGGGUGCACGCCCGCAGACUCGCUCCCGCGCACUCCCACCCCUCGCCUCCGGACUCUGACGACGAACGCACCUCCCCCAAGCGCAGCACUAAAAACCCAUCCAAAAUACCUCCCAAAAAAACGAGAAAGCAACUCAGAUCGCCAACGAAGAACAUUAAGGACGUAAAUGAUAACACGAAGCACAAAGAUUGCCCCGUAAUGAGCCCGAAAACGAAGAAGGCGCAAGUCAAAAAUAAGAAGAAGGAAGAGGUAAAAAGAGAGAGAAAGGAGAAAAAUCAUAAAGAGCCGCCUAAAGUGAAGCAGAAAGACCAAAUUAAAAUCGAUCAACCGUUAGAGCCUAAGAAAGAAGUGAAAAGCAAUUGGACUAGAGAUGAAGAUAAGACAAUGUUACAGGUGCUAAAAGGCGAGGCAGGCUCAGAGCAAGUGUUUUGUAGAAUAAGGGAACUGCUGCCGCAUCGUUCGGCAACUGAAAUCAAAGAGAGGUUCUGUCACGUGAUGACUCUCUUACAGCAAAUGGCCGUGGGAGAGGUCACUUAGUGCUAUCAUUUCAAUUAUGUAAUGAAAAUCAAAGUAUUUAUAAUUUUUAUAAAUAAAAUUAUUUUUGAGUAUA